GAUCCGCCACUGAUUGUGAAUAUAAAUAUAAUUGUUACUUAAAAGUCAUAGACUAGUACUAGCUCCGAGCACCUGUUUUGGGAUAUAUACAGCUAAUUAACCGUAAAUAACUGCGAGAUAAUGAAUAACAAGUUGAUAAUUGUCUAUUCUCUGCUAAUUAAUGUACCUGCAAUUCACCCUGAUUCAUUUGUGAGACCACCGACACUAAUAAUAUUACCUCAAAGUUAGAGGUUCUCCGUUACAGGGAACUUCAUAUCGGAUCCGAUCAAUUUAUUGGUUCCAUUCCCCCUAGUAAUAAUGAUCCAUUUGCAGUGACGGUGACAAUCAAAGCAGUAAGGGGAAACAACUCCUUACUAUAAUGCAACCGCCAUGUUUAUGCGGGGAAGACCGAGUUUUGUGUUUACAAAAAGGUUGAUUUAGCGGAUCGUAUAUAUCAGAAUGACACGUGCUGUUCUGAUUGUAGAGUUAUGUGAAAUGGAAAGAAAGAGAUACAUGUACAUACAGAGACUGUUUUGAUAUUAAGGUGUAAAAAUGAGCUACCAGAAAAGAUGUUGAAAAUUUUAAAACUGUUUUAACAAGAGCAUCAAAAAAUAGAAAAAAAAGAACAAUACCAGGUCUAGACUUUGUGGCUGCAUGCAAUUAAUUCUAAAUUACCAGGAAACAAGAUGUAGCUGCACAGCAGACAUGGCAGAUCUUAAAAUUGCUAAUAGACAUCAACUCAACAUUUUCAAGCUGCAUAUCAAAAAUGAAAGCAUUCCUUUUCAUAGAAUCCAAGAAAUCUUUUAACCAAGUCAAGUGGUUAUUAGACCUGCUAUCAUGAAAAUAUUAACAUAUAUAUUAGUCACAUGUAAUAUCCCAAAUAUAAGAACUAUUUGGUAUGUCUGACUAUCUUUCUUCCCAUGUCAUGUUAUAUGUAUGCUCAGAAUAUUUUAAUUUCACAAGGAUAUGAAAUGGAUAAAUGAUAUAUUGUCAACCAUUUAAAUAAAACAGACAGGCUCACAUAAAACUUAACUGUCUAUGUGAAAGUUCAAGUUGACUGAAAUUGUUUAUAAUUAAUACCAUAUAUCCAAAAGUACAGAAUUGUCUUUCUCAGAAAUUUUGUAUGUUUAAUAGAAUGAUACUUGUAGCUUC